CUGCGGAGUCAUUUCCAUACGGAUACAUGCCUGCAGCUCCUCACAUGCCGCAGUUUGGAGCUCCUGGGAUGAUAAUGGGGAAGCCUGUUAUGGACCCUGCUUUAUAUGCCCAGCAGCCACCCAACUACAUGGCUAGGCAAGGGUGGCCACAGGGGUCAGAGCAGCAGCAGCAGCAACAACAACAGCAGUCACCUUCGGGUCACUAGUGACUGACGUGAGAAGCUGGGGGGAAAAGAGUGGACUCCACAACAUUCUGGGAUGGCAACAGAAUGGGACAAGGUGGCAGAGGUGUCCUCGGUCAUCCUCGAAAGGAGGAAAACUCGGACGGUUGAGGCGAAGACAAGUAGAUUUUCUGUAAAUUUCUAUAUGCAUUACAAAGGAUAGGUGUUGAUGUUGAUUCAACCAUUUUCUUAAUGCCGUUCAAUCUACUACCAACAAUCUGAGAACAUUGGUCAAAGAUGUACAAAUAGAAAUUAUACCUUGAAGUUUGCUUAAAUUUUAAACAUAA